GCUGGAGUGGUGGAACUGGUAGACACGCAGGACUUAAAAUCCUGUGAGGCUUAUCCCUCGUACGGGUUCGAUUCCCGUCUCCAGUA
rnacentral:tRNA from 1 species